rnacentral:tRNA from 1 species
GGAGAGGUGCCAGAGAGGCUGAAUGGGGCGGUCUCGAAAACCGUUGUGGGGGCAACUUCACCGGGGGUUCAAAUCCCUCCCUCUCCG